rnacentral:rRNA from 1 species
AUGGUGCUCUUCGUAUCUAUGUAUAUAUACGACUCCGCGGCCGGCUUUCCCCGGCCCCUCUAUAUAAAAGGUAACCCGCAAGCUGAUCAAGGUGAGCUAAAAAUGGAGAAGGCGCCGUCCAUCGGCUCCAGCAGCUGGGUGAUGGAGAUGGAGAGGACGAUCGGCGACAUCGACCCGGCGGUGGAGAUGGCGCGCUGGAAGAGGCACUCCAUCUACCUCGUCCCCGAGCGCAUCAAGAACCUGCACAACACCAAGGCGUACCGGCCGGAGCUCGUCUCCCUCGGCCCCUUCCACCACGGCGAGCCCGACCUGCUCCCCAUGGAGGAGCACAAGCGCCGCGCGGUGGUGCACCUCGUCAAGCGCUCCGGGAGGCCGCUCCGGGAGUUCGUCAACGCCGUGGCCGAGGUCACGCAGCAGCUCCAGGAGGCCUACAAGGACCUCGGCGCCGAGUGGCGCGGGGACGACAACCGGCAGCGCUUCGUCGAGCUCAUGCUCACCGACGGCUGCUUCCUGGUGGAGGCCAUGAGGAUGGACGCGCUGCGGGGGAAGGUCCAGGGCGACUACGCGCCCAACGACCCCGUCUUUAGCCAGUACGGUUACCUCUACCUGUGGCUCUAUAUCCAGUCCGACAUGGUCGUCAUGGAGAACCAGCUGCCUCUGCUUCUUCUCCACAAGCUAUUCCUUGUUCUCGACCAUGACAAAUAUCAGGAUGCUCGAGAGAUAAGAAAGUUGGUGCUUGAUUCCCUCUGUCCUUGGCGCCGACAUGUGGUUGAUAUAAACCCCCUCGGGCUCCACCCCCUCGACAUCUUACACCAAAGCCUUACCCAUGACGACCACCAAGAUCGCAAAGGAUCAAAGGCGUAUGUCAUGCCCUCCGCGAUGGAGAUCUAUGAAGCAGGAAUCCAUUUCAAGGUGAGCGACACCGACAGCCUCCUCGACGUCCACUUCGAGCAUGGCGUGCUAAGCAUGCCGGCGGUUAGGGUCAACGAAGGCACCGAGAAGAGGUUCCUCAAUCUAAUGGCAUUCGAACGGCUCCACCCUUCUGCUGGCAAUGCUGUGACAGCCUACGUGAUCUUCAUGGACAACAUGAUUAGCUCGGCCAAGGAUGUGGCCCUGCUCAGAUCUAAGAUGAUUAUCGAGAGUGGGUUGGGCAGCGAUGAAGAGGUCGCCAAGCUCCUAAACAACACGCUAAACAAGGGAGGAGUGAUGAGCCCGUCUAGUAGGCUCCAUGAUGUGCAGCGACAGGUGAAUGCCCACUGCAGGAAGAGAUGGAAUAGAUGGCGGGCUAACUUCAUACAAACCUACUUGAGAAACCCUUGGGUGUUCAUUUCCCUCGUCGCCACCGUUAUUCUACUAGUUGCCACACUUUUGCAGACCUUCUAUACGGUUGCGCCCUUUUACAAGCUCAUAUCCUAG